rnacentral:rRNA from 1 species
AGUGAACGCUGGCGGUAGGCCUAACACAUGCAAGUCGAACGGCAGCACAGUAAUUGCUUGCUCUUACGGGUGGCGAGUGGCGGACGGGUUAGGAAUACAUCGGAAUCUACUUUUUCGUGUGUGAUAACGUAGGUAAACUUACGCUAAUACCGCAUCCGUCCUACGGGUGAAAGCAUUGGAUCUUCUGACCUUGCGCGUUUGAUUGAGCCGAUGUCGGAUUAGCUAGUUGGCUGGGUAAAGGCCCACCAAGGCGACGAUCCGUAGCUGGUCUGAGAGGAUGAUCAGCAAAACUGGAAGUGAGAAAGGGACAAGAAACCAAGGGGAGGAAGCAGUGGGAAAUAGUGGAAAAGGGGCGAAAGACUGAACAAGAAAUACCGCGUGGGUGAAGAAAGCAUUCGGGUUGUAAAGCCCUUUUGUUGGGAAAGAAAAGAAGCAGGUUAAUAAACCGCUGUUCUGAGGGUACCAAAAGAAUAAGCACCGGCUAACAUCGU